AUGACUUUUCAUUGUGCAGUAAUCUCGUAAAAAUUCAAUUAAUCGAGAGAGUAUUGAUCAUCUAAUAGAAUUUAAAAAAAAAGUUGAACGAGUUAUCAGCUUCUGAACGAUGAAACGGAACGAAAUGAGAAGCAGCCUAGUUUUAUCUCAGCGCACAAGAAAGAUAGAAAUAAAUAAAAGAAGAAGUAGAAGAAGAUGAAGAAGAUGAAGAUGAAGAAGAAGAAGAAGAAGAAGAAAAUAAAAAAAAAAGAGGUUAAUCGCAAAUAGUUAUGCCGAUGAGGAUGGAUACAACGAGUUGUUACACAAGAGUUAAUCGUUAACUCGCUCUAUGUAACCUAAUUAUUUCUAGUGUCUCUCGAGGAAAAUUAUAUAAUAUGAAUUUUAUCAUUCUCCUAUUAUAAUCUAACUUUAUCAUAAUACACGAAGUUAUGUAUUACGGUUAUAUUGAAGGCUGCUGUAUCACAAAAAUACUAAUAAAAAUACGAGUAUCUUUUAUAAAUUGCACAUACAUGCUACAAAUUCCACAACAUAAUUUUACUUUAUACAAAACGACAAAGCUAUUAGUAAUAAAUUCUAUCAUGAA